rnacentral:rRNA from 1 species
UACGUAGGGGGCAAGCGUUGUCCGGAAUCAUUGGGCGUAAAGAGCGUGUAGGCGGCCCGGUAAGUCCGCUGUGAAAGUCCAGGGCUCAACCCUGGGAUGCCGGUGGAUACUGUCGGGCUCGAGUCCGGAAGAGGAGUGUGGAAUUCCUGGUGUAGCGGUGAAAUGCGCAGAUAUCAGGAGGAACACCAAUGGCGAAGGCAGCACUCUGGGACGUGACUGACGCUGAGACGCGAAAGCGUGGGGAGCGAGCCGG